rnacentral:lncRNA from 1 species
CACCACCGCCUUAUGAGUACAAGUCGCCACCACCUCCUUCUCCAUCUCCUCCACCGCCAUAUGAAUACAAGUCGCCACCACCUCCUUCACCAUCACCUCCACCACCAUACUACUACUCUUCCCCACCACCUCCGAAGAAGUCACCUCCACCACCAUACUACUACUCCUCUCCACCACCACCCGAGAAGUCACCUCCUCCACCAUACUACUACUCCUCUCCUCCACCCCCGGAGAAGUCACCUCCACCACCUUACUACUACUCUUCUCCACCACCCCCCAAGAAGUCACCUCCACCUCCAUACUACUAUAGUUCUCCACCACCACCCGAGAAGUCACCUCCACCACCUUACUACUAUUCUUCUCCUCCACCACCCGAGAAGUCACCUCCACCACCAUACUACUACUACUCUCCUCCACCACCCAAGAAGUCACCUCCACCUCCAUACUACUACAGUUCUCCACCACCACCAGUUAAGUAUCCUCCUCCACCAUACUACUACCCUUCUCCACCACCACCCAAGGAAUCACCUCCUCCACCAUACUACUACUCCUCACCACCACCACCCAAGAAGUCACCCCCAC